UCGGGUGUGGCCAAGCGGUAAGGCAGCGGACUUUGGAUCCGCGAUCCCAGGUUCGAAUCCUGGCACCCGAGCCA
rnacentral:tRNA from 2 species